CUUUGGUCGUCCAGCCUUAGGUGA
rnacentral:miRNA from 1 species